CAAUAGCGUAUAUUUAAGUUGUUGCAGUUAAAAAGCUCGUAGUUGGAUUUCGGGCGGGGCCUGCCGGUCCGCCUUUGGUGUGCACUGGCAGGGUCCGCCUUGCUGUCGGGGACGGGUUCCUGGGCUUUACUGUCUGGGACUCGGAGUCGACGUGGUUACUUUGAGUAAAUUAGAGUGUUCAAAGCAGGCUUACGCUCUGAAUACAUUAGCAUGGAAUAACGCGAUAGGACUCUGGCCUAUCUUGUUGGUCUGUGGGACCGGAGUAAUGAUUAAGAGGGACAGUCGGGGGCAUUCGUAUUUCAUUGUCAGAGGUGAAAUUCUUGGAUUUAUGAAAGACGAACUACUG
rnacentral:rRNA from 2 species